rnacentral:rRNA from 1 species
GACGAACGCUGGCGGCGUGCUUAACACAUGCAAGUCGAACGGAAAGGCCUCUUUCGGGGGGUACUCGAGUGGCGAACGGGUGAGUAACACGUGAGUAACCUGCCCUUGACUUUGGGAUAACUUCAGGAAACUGGGGCUAAUACCGGAUAGGAGCUCCUGCUGCAUGGUGGGGGUUGGAAAGUUUCGGCGGUUGGGGAUGGACUCGCGGCUUAUCAGCUUGUUGGUGGGGUAGUGGCUUACCAAGGCUUUGACGGGUAGCCGGCCUGAGAGGGUGACCGGCCACAUUGGGACUGAGAUACGGCCCAGACUCCUACGGGAGGCAGCAGUGGGGAAUAUUGCACAAUGGGUGGAAGCCUGAUGCAGCAAGGCCGUGUGCGGGAUGACGGCCUUCGGGUUGUAAACCGCUUUCGCUCAUGACGAAGCUUUGUGUGACGGUAGUGGGUAAAGAAGCACCGGCUAACUACGUG